rnacentral:rRNA from 1 species
UCCUACGGGGGGCAGCAGUGGGGGAUAUUGCACAAUGGGGGAAACCCUGAUGCAGCGACGCCGCGUGGGCGAAGAAGUAUUUCGGUAUGUAAAGCCCUAUCAGCAGGGAAGAAGAAAUGACGGUACCUGAGUAAGAAGCACCGGCUAAAUACGUGCCAGCAGCCGCGGUAAUACGUAUGGUGCAAGCGUUAUCCGGAUUUACUGGGUGUAAAGGGAGCGCAGGCGGCACGGCAAGCCUGAAGUGAAAAUCCAGCGCUUAACGUUGGAAGUGCUUUGGAAGCCGCCGGGCUGGAGUGCAGGAGGGG